AAAAACCAAGAAACAAUGGAGAAUCAUUGAGGUCUAGAAGGAACCUGGAUUGGGCACUGAAAUUGCUUUAGGUUGCUGUAUUUCCAGGCUGAGCAGGCCCUCCCAGAAGAUGAGCUCGCUAUUGAGCUGUCCUGGUUCUGAUAUGCAUUAGUUGAGGUUCCCUUGUUUGUGACAUAACACUUGGGACGUCACCCAAUAUUGGCCUCUGAAGGGGACCCAAGUGUAACCCAAUGUUAACAUGAGAAAGUGUGACAGGAUAUGCCAGAAGUUUAAAGAGAAACACAUGAUUUCUAGACUGUAUACCUGCUGUGUUCCAGUAUCUAUUCAGAAAGACUCUGAGAUGUGGAAGAAGGUUGAACGGUAAGAGCAAGAGGGAAAAAAAAAAUCUGGCACGUCUUUUGUUGAAAUUUAAUCCCUCCUUUUUCCCCUUGAUGCCCAGAAACAGUCUGCAGACUUUUCAAUCACUUUUUAGGAUACAGUGAAUUUUAUCAUAAUUUUUUUUCAACGAAAACCACAUGUGCUUGUUCUUUUGACAACAGAGAAUAACGAAAUCGUAUUUGUUAAGUCCAAAAGGCAAGUAAUAAAUAACUGGGACACGAUUCUGAAAUCCAAAGUUCUUCAAAAGAAGGAAUGACUAUUGUUGAAAAAAAUUUAAUUUGGAUAGGAAAAUGAACUUUUGAAGAGAAAACCAUCUGAGAGCUACCCUGUGGCUCAAGGCCUUUUCCUUUCCUGCUGGACCAAUUCUAGUUCUGCAUCCUAAGGCCAUAAUAAAAAAGGGAUUGUCUACAAAAUGCACCCGUGCUUACGAGACUUGGGCCCACUUAUCAACUUCAGUGUCAGCGCUCAUAGGAUCAGAAAUUUUAAGACCUGAAAGCUACUUCAGCAGCCAUUCAGUCCAACAUAUAUGCAAAAAGAUUUCCCAUCAUACCAUACCUAAUAAGUGGUUCUUGAGCCUUUGCUUGAAGACCUCCAAGGAGAAAGAAGCCACAAUCUCUACAGGCAACACCUCCCAACACUCCACUUUUGGGCAGCUCUAAUUGGUAAAAAGUUUUUCCUCAUAUCCACCUAAAUUCACCUCCUUGCAACUUCUACCAAUUGCUCAUAGUUCAGCCCUUUGCAUCCUAACAGACCAAAUGGAGUUUCCCCUCCACAAAUAUUUGAAGGCAGAUAUCAUGCCCUCAUUCUGUCACCUAUCUUAGACUUUCCAAGUUGAAUUUUUGGACCCAGCUGUGGACUUUACAUUUAUCCCAAUGAAGUUUCAUCUCGUUAGAUUCAACUCAACAUUCCAGCCUGCCAAGAAGACGUUUGAAUUGUGACAUUAUCAUCCAUUGUGUUAGCUAUCCCUCUCAGCUUAUGUCAUCUGUAAAUCUGAGAAGCAUAAUAUGUAUUCCUUUAAUGAAAGCAGCAAUAAAAAAUGCUAAAAAGGGC
ensembl:lncRNA